UACGGAGGGAGCUAGCGUUGUUCGGAAUUACUGGGCGUAAGGCGCGCGUAGGCGGGUUUGUAAGUAGGGGGUGAAAUCCCAGGGCUCAACCCUGGAACUGCCUUCUAGAUUGCAAGCCUGGAGGUCAGGAGAGGCGAGUGGAAUACCGAGUGUAGAGGUGAAAUUCGUAGAUAUUCGGUGGAACACCAGUGGCGAAGGCGACUCGCUGGACUGAUACUGACGCUGAGGUGCGAAAGCGUGGGGAGCAAACAGG
rnacentral:rRNA from 1 species